rnacentral:rRNA from 1 species
GUACACGCUGUGACUAGCAUAUCAAUAAGCGGAGGAAAAGAAACUAACAAGGAUUCCCCUAGUAACGGCGAGGUGAAGCGGGAAGAGCUCAAAUUUGAAAUCUUAAAGGGUUUCCCUUUACGAAUUGUAGUUUAAAGAAGUGUUUUCUGUUGAGGUUUUGGUAAAAGUUCUUUGGAAUAGGACAUCAUAGAGGGUGAGAAUCCCGUAUUUGACCUUUACUUUCAACUUUGUGAUACACUUUCAAAGAGUCGGAUUGUUUGGGAAUGCAGUCCAAAAUGGGUGGUAAAUUUCAUCUAAAGCUAAAUAUUGGCGAGAGACCGAUAGCGAACAAGUACCGUGAGGGAAAGGAUGAAAAGAACUUUGAAAAGAGAGUUAAACAGUACGUGAAAUUGUCAAAAGGGAAGCGUUUGACACCAGUGUUGUUUUUCUGAAAAUCAAUUAAAGAACUGUUUAUGCUAAGUUGUUUAGACUUUAUCAGCUAACUGUUUAGUUUUGAGCUUUUCUUUAAUGCACUUUUCAGUUAACAAGUCAACAUCAAUUUCUUUUGCUGUAAAAAAGCUUGAGGAAGGUGGCUUGAGAUUCGUCUUAAGUGUUUAUAGCCUCUUGCCUAUGCAGUCGGAGAGAUUGAGGUCUGCAGCGUAGAUCCUUCGGGGCUAAAUGCAUUUGUGCUAAGUUAUAGCAUUUUAUAGACAACUUGUUGACUAUGAUUUGUCUUGUAGCUUACUCGCUUAUGUUAUUUUACCUACGCUUAGGAUGUUGAAGAUGUAGCACAUCAU